rnacentral:rRNA from 1 species
UACGUAGGGUGCAAGCGUUAUCCGGAAUUAUUGGGCGUAAAGAGCUCGUAGGCGGUUUGUCACGUCUGCUGUGAAAACUGGAGGCUCAACCUCCAGCCUGCAGUGGGUACGGGCAGACUAGAGUGCGGUAGGGGAGAUUGGAAUUCCUGGUGUAGCGGUGGAAUGCGCAGAUAUCAGGAGGAACACCAGUGGCGAAGGCGGCACUCUGGGCCAGUACUGACGCUGAGGAGCGAAAGCGUGGGGAGCGAACAGG